rnacentral:tRNA from 1 species
GCGGGCGUAGUUCAGUGGUAGAACACAAGCCUUCCAAGCUUGAUACGUGAGUUCGAUUCUCAUCGCCCGCUCCA